CCCUUAGAUGUUCUGGGCCGCACGUGCGCUACACUGACGGAGGCAGCGAGCAUGUCCUUCGCCGAGAGGUGUGGGGAAUCUUGUGAGUCUCCGUCGUGCUGGGGAUAGAGCAUUGCAAUUAUUGCUCUUCAACGAGGAAUGCCUAGUAGGCACAAGUCAUCAGCUUGUGCCGAUUACGUCCCUGCCCUUUGUACACACCGCCCGUCGCUACUACCGAUUGAAUGGCUCAGUGAGGCCUUCGGACUGGCCCAGGGAGGUUGGCAACGACCACCCAGGGCCGGAAAGUUGGUCAAACUUGGUCAUUUAGAGGAAGUAAAAGUCGUAACA
rnacentral:rRNA from 1 species